rnacentral:rRNA from 1 species
CCUACGGGAGGCAGCAGUGGGGAAUAUUGGGCAAUGGAGGAAACUCUGACCCAGCGACGCCGCGUGCGGGAUGAAGGCCUUCGGGUUGUAAACCGCUUUCAGUAGGGAAGAAGCGAAAGUGACGGUACCUACAGAAGAAGCACCGGCUAACUAUGUGCCAGCAGCCGCGGUAAUACAUAGGGUGCAAGCGUUGUCCGGAAUUAUUGGGCGUAAAGAGCUCGUAGGUGGUUCGUCACGUCGGAUGUGAAAAUCUGGGGCUCAACCCCAGACCUGCAUUCGAUACGGGCGAUCUAGAGUGUGGUAGGGGAGACUGGAAUUCCUGGUGUAGCGGUGGAAUGCGCAGAUAUCAGGAGGAACACCAAUGGCGAAGGCAGGUCUCUGGGCCAUUACUGACACUGAGGAGCGAAAGCGUGGGGAGCGAACAGGAUUAGAUACCCUGGUAGUCCACGCCGUAAACGGUGGGCACUAGUUGUGGGAACCUUCCACGGUUUCUGCGACGCAGCUACGCAUAGUGCCCGCCGUCGGGAGGUACGANCGCAGAUUAAACUACAAGAAGUAGACGCGUGAGACGUGCCGACGGACGACGACGAGGGAGUAGG